UUGAUCAGUGCAUUUUGAUGCAUAUUCUUCUACUAUUUUACUUAGGCAACUCUAUAGUUUAUUCUAUUAUUUUUACUAUUUUAGUGUGUUUUUAUAUUUAAUUUAAUUUUUUGUUUUAUUUUAUUUUCGUAUUUUAUUUUCAGCAUAAAUAGUUAUUUGAUAUCUCAUUAUUAUGCAGGUCAUAACUUGAGCUACGAGGAUCAAAUUGAUGUGUUCUAAUAUGUGUUGGAAAGCUGGGAGGAUAAGAUAAAAGUUUCAUGUUGAAG
rnacentral:lncRNA from 1 species